rnacentral:sRNA from 2 species
CAAAAAUAGCUGAUAACUUGUCAUCGCCCUUGGGAGUAAGCAGGAAAAAAGAAAUUGGACAAGACAAAGACCCCCACAUCACAACCCACUUAUCUAUGCCUAAUCCGGGCACUUCCAAGCCUCAGAUGUGCCCCCACGGUGCUACUGCUUACAAGUUACACUGCACAGUCUGACGACUCCUCACGUAGUCCUCAGGUAGCAGUGCGUGGCGCUACCCAAAAUUAAUCCGAAACGCUUCUGUUCAGCCCGUUCAAGUCUUGGCAAUGAUGGAAUAGAGCGACACGCCCGAAAACCACGGCCACAACGUGUCUCCCGAACAGAGUAAAAUGAAAGGUGAAGAUCAAUCAUAAAAAUCGAGGACGCGGUAAGAUUUCGCGACCAGAGAAUAUACAUCAGGAUAGUGGGGAUGUGACCGCGGGAAUGCUUAUCUCCGAAAUCACACAACAGACAUUUUCUCAGUCCGCGGGACAAACUGGAAAUGACGAGAAGAAAGGAGAGAAAAUUCCCAUAAACCGUGUCAAGAGCCGGUUAUCCAAUUUUCAAUUUGUCCGUGAUGAUAAUAAUGAUAAGAAUCAUCGGCCGUAAGCGGCACAAGAAAAAUAUAUCACACAUUCAAGCAAGCUUACUCGGGGCGGAAAAUACAAUCAAACAAACCAAAAGAGGGGAAGGAUGAGCAAAUGGAUCCAUCGAAAAUCCGUCUGAUUGCAGAUCUUGGACGUAAUGGCCCACCUUUGUGGAGAGUUGAACCGUUGUAGGGCAUGCCCGUAAGCGAAAAUGAGGGAUCCCUCAUUCAUAGCCUCAAUUAUAGGGUCCGGUUGGCGCCCUCCAGUCACCACCCUGCUCGCCAUUGCAGGCAUUUCUUUUAAGCAUAUUUUAAGCAUGUACCACUGGACAGGGGGUGCGCGGGAAUUUAUUUCGGGGAAUCAGUUUUCGUCCGUUUUUUGAAGACAAAGUUUGCCUCAAACUCUGGAGAUCCUAAAGUCAAUCGAUGAACAGAAACAAAGAAAACGAAGUUCGGGAUUGAAACUUGAUCUGACUCCAUCUAAGGAGGGGUUCCUGUCCCAGAACACAAACAGGUCCCAAGAAUCGGCCAUUUUCUCCCGUUUUGAAAGGUUUUUCGCAGACUUGGAAACCAUCGAUUCUAUAUCACAUUCUCCAAUUCUUGACGCCUGUGGCUGACAGCCCAAGCCACCUUGUCUUGCCAUCCGCCAAUCCCGAAUUAAAGAAAACAAACGUGAAACCAUUAGCUCAACCAAGACAAACGGAGGAGAAACUUAGCCUCCAAACAUAAAAAGCGAAGUUUUGAAACUCGUUUUCGUGAUGCAGCGCGCUCGCCCAUGAAUAAGAAUAUCUAAUUCGUAUCACGAUUUUGCUCCGCCACCCAGGGAAUAAUUAAGCGCAUCUUCUUCAUUCUGUGGCUGCAAAACUAAGUUGCGCUCGAAGCACUCUCGUGAAUAUUCUUGUUUUGGAGCUCUUCUACCCACCCGCUGAUGAUGAGAGGCUAAGCACAGUUCGUGUCUGAGGGAAGCCAACGAUAGCGCCAAUUGCAACGGGGACUUGGAAUUGAAAGCAAAAGAACGGAAAAGAAAAGACAAAUGCAAAUGCAAAAGAUACAAGCCUCUCAUUGUCAAUGUACUGGGGGAAAAAAAAGUCCUAAACCGUUAUCCCUGGCCAGGAGCCAUCGCGUCUCUCGCGCUUCUUUUGCACAAGAACCGUGCAUACCCUGUCUGCUCAAUCGAUGUUCCCUGCAACAUCCAAUUUAGACUCAUCAGGGAAUCUAAUUUUCAGGGGACACAAGGGCGUUGUUGUUCUACACACUUCGUUCACAUGUCCAAGCUCAAAAAAUAAAAGACCGAAAUAAAAGCAAAAAACCCUGUGUGCGCAGGACGCCAGGAUAGGAUAAGGUUCAACAACACGCAUCACAUCGGCCCAUAUGCCAUUCCAUUUCGUGCUCUUGGCCAGCGACAUACUAAAUGGGUAAAGGCGCAAGAACCACGAAUUUUCAGUGCCGUUGGCUUGCUAUGCUGGCUUCGUCGAUGUACGCCACAAGCCACCAUGCCAGAAGUGGAUCGGGAUGUUCGGAUUGGCAUUUAUUAUUACCCCGUCGCCUGAAAGGCUGAAACGACGUCACGAGGAACAAGCGCAAAAUAUAAGCUCUGUUGGAAGGAAUUGACGUUAGUUGCGAAUAAAGAACCAGAUGAUGUCUGGAGUUUUAUACGGCCAACAACCAUUUUCAUGACCCCGACGAUACGGAUAGCUUUUCAGCGCGUUAUAUCGGACGAAAAGAGGGUGGUGACCUUAGUCCUCAAAGCCCAUAUCUUGAGGACAUUCUAACCGAAGGUUAGUCAUCGAAGGAGACAAUGAAGAUAUCCAUUUUGAAGGUGGGUAUUAGCGAAGAUAUGAAUGGCAAUUCGGAGGGUCCUUUCGAAACUUCGUCAUAUCAGGAAGUUAUGUGGUUUUCUUUUUGCAAACGGUCAUUUCCCUUGCGCAAUCGGGAGGUUAAGAGGUAGGUGGUUUUACGAACAUCAUAACUAAACUUUAGGCAUCCUUGCGGACCUGCAAGCCCUAUUAGAUUUCCACGAUGUUGAACUAUAAAUACAACUUAAUUUACUAGUGUGGGAAUGAACGGAGAUAUUACCCGCAAGUUCCACAACGCUCGACAUCACGAAAUGGACGGGGAAUACUGGGGGAAUAUGUCACUACGCAGAAAGUUAUUGUACUGAUAAUUUCCUAACGGGAAAGAACCUAUAGUACAAGGCACGAAAAAGCCGGCACAAAUUCUGCUUGCAAUUGCCCUGUGCCAUAUUAUGACCUGAAGAUUCCUUUUGGUGUGUCAACAGGGAUUACGUUCCCCACUUCAAUGGCUUUUUGUUCGGGGUCACUAAGUACGGCCAGGGUGUAGACAUUGGGGAGGGCCCCCUGGGCAUUAAGGGUUCCAUCCCCGGAAAAAUAGUGGACAGAACUUAGAAGCUCCAGUUAUCAGUAAAAGCCAAGGGGGUUGAGCUCCCGGAUCGACCCUAGGAAUCUAGUACGUGGCCCUCCCCUUCGCUUCUUCCCACACACCCCCCUGUGAUCCGCAACAUGGAAACGCCAUUUUUGGCGCUCCGAAACGGCGAAACCUGGAGCUUCAUUCGGCACGGC